rnacentral:ncRNA from 1 species
AAUGAGUUGUUUAACACUUUUCAUUGUAAGUUAUAUGGGAUUUUUUAUAUGCAAUUAAAAAGCCCUAUAAUAUCCAGUGGAUUUAUCCACUACAGAGAUUAUAGAGCC